GACGAACGCUGGCGGCGUGCUUAACACAUGCAAGUCGAACGGGCCUGUCUUCUUUUUGGGGGGUGGGUUGAGUGGCGAACGGGUGAGUAUCACGUGAGUAACCUGCCCUUCGGUCCUGGAUAACCGCUUGAAAGGGCGGCUAAUACGGGGUGGUCCGGUUGGUCCGCAUGGGCUGGUCGGGAUAGAUUCACUGUUUUUGGUGUUUCGGCGGGGGAUGGGCUCGCGGCCUAUCAGCUUGUUGGUGGGGUGAUGGCCUACCAAGGCGGUGACGGGUAGCCGGCCGGAGAGGGUGGGCGGCCACACUGGGACUGAGAUACGGCCCAGACUCCUGCGGGAGGCAGCAGUGGGGGGUAUUGCACAAUGGGCGGAAGCCUGAUGCAGCGACGUCGCGUGAGGGAUGGAGGCCUUCGGGUUGUGAACCUCUGUUUCCGGUGGUGAAGGCCCUGUCCGUGUGGUGGGGUUGACGGUAGCCGGGGAUGAAGCGCCGGCUAACUACGUG
rnacentral:rRNA from 1 species